CUGCUCUGUCCAAAUGACGCGGCCGCUCCCGCGCCACACCGCCCGCCCGCCGCGCCCGCGGCUUUCCGACCCCCCGUCGCUCACCCCACCGCUGCACUACUCCACCACGAGACCGCGCCGCCGCUCCCCUUCGAUCCGCCCGCCGCCGCCGCCUUCUGGAUCGCCGAGCCAAAGACCAGUACGAGAAGGUGGAGAAGAUCGGGGAAGGGACGUACGGGGUGGUGUACAAGGCCAAGGACCGCUACAACAACGAGACCAUCACGCUCAACAAGAUCCGCCUCGAGUAGGAGGACGUGGGCCGUUAGGUCCGUUAGGGUUAUUAGUCCAUAGUGGUAUUUCGGAGUGCAAAAUUGAGUUACAGUGGCAUUUUGGAUAGCAUGGCUUUUUGAGUGGUAUUUUGGAAUCAUAGAUUUCACA